GACAGAGGGGGCAAGCGUUAAUCGGAAUUACUGGGCGUAAAGGGCUCGUAGGUGGCCAACUAAGUCAGACGUGAAAUCCCUCAGCUUAACUGGGGAACUGCGUCUGAUACUGGAUGGCUUGAGUUUGGGAGAGGGAUGCGGAAUUCCAGGUGUAGCGGUGAAAUGCGUAGAUAUCUGGAGGAACACCGGUGGCGAAGGCGGCAUCCUGGACCAACACUGACACUGAUGAGCGAAAGCCAGGGGAGCAAACGGG
rnacentral:rRNA from 1 species